CGGCGGACGGGUGAGUAACGCGUGGGUAACCUGCCUCAUACAGGGGGAUAACAGUUGGAAACGGCUGCUAAUACCGCAUAAGCGCACAGUACCACAUGGUACAGUGUGAAAAACUCCGGUGGUAUGAGAUGGACCCGCGUCUGAUUAGCUGGUUGGCGGGGUAACGGCCUACCAAGGCGACGAUCAGUAGCCGACCUGAGAGGGUGACCGGCCACAUUGGGACUGAGACACGGCCCAG
rnacentral:rRNA from 1 species